rnacentral:rRNA from 1 species
CCUACGGGAGGCAGCAGUGAGGAAUAUUGGUCAAUGGCCGAGAGGCUGAACCAGCCAAGUCGCGUGAGGGAAGACGGCCCUACGGGUUGUAAACCUCUUUUGUCGGGGAGCAAAGCGAGUCACGUGUGACUCAUUGAGAGUACCCGAAGAAAAAGCAUCGGCUAACUCCGUGCCAGCAGCCGCGGUAAUACGGAGGAUGCGAGCGUUAUCCGGAUUUAUUGGGUUUAAAGGGUGCGUAGGCGGGCCUUCAGGCCGGCGGUAAAAUUGCGGGGCUCAACCCCGCCGAGCCGUCGGAACCGGGGGCCUUGAGUACCGGAGAAGUACGCGGAAUGCGUGGUGUAGCGGUGAAAUGCAUAGAUAUCACGCAGAACCCCGAUUGCGAAGGCAGCGUACCGGCCGGUCACUGACGCUGAGGCACGAAAGCGCGGGUAUCGAACAGGAUUAGAUACCCUUGUAGUC